rnacentral:rRNA from 1 species
AGUGAACGCUGGCGGUAGGCCUAACACAUGCAAGUCGAACGGCAGCACAGUAAGAGCUUGCUCUUACGGGUGGCGAGUGGCGGACGGGUGAGGAAUACAUCGGAAUCUACUUUUUCGUGGGGGAUAACGUAGGGAAACUAACGUUAUAACCGCAUACGACCUACGGGUGAAAGCAGGGGAUCUUCGGACUUUGCGCGAUUGAAUGAGCCGAUGUCGGAUUAGCUAGUUGGCGGGGUAAAGGCCCACCAAGGCGACGAUCCGUAGCUGGUCUGAGAGGAUGAUCAGCCACACUGGAACUGAGACACGGUCCAGACUCCUACGGGAGGCAGCAGUGGGGAAUAUUGGACAAUGGGCGCAAGCCUGAUCCAGCCAUACCGCGUGGGUGAAGAAGGCCUUCGGGUUGUAAAGCCCUUUUGUUGGGAAAGAAAAGCAGCAGGUUAAUACCCCGCUGUUCUGACGGUACCCAAAGAAUAAGCACCGGCUAACUUCGUG